AUUGAACGCUGGCGGCAGGCCUAACACAUGCAAGUCGAGCGAGCGGCGGACGGGGGAGUACUGUAUGUGAAACUGUGUGAUGGAGGGGGAUAACUACGGGAAACGGUAGCGAAUACCGCAUACCCUCAGAUGUGCGCAGAUGGGGUUAGCUAGUAGGUGGGGUAACGGCUCACCUAGGCGACGAUCCCUAGCUGGUCGGAGAGGAUGACCAGCCACACUGGAACUGAGACACGGUCCAGACUCCUACGGGAGGCAGCAGUGGGGAAUAUUGCACAAUGGGCGCAAGCCUGAUACAGCCAUGCCGCGUGUAUGAAGAAGGCCUUCGGGUUGUAAAGUACUUUCAGCGAGGAGGCGUUACUCGCAGAAGAAGUACCGGCUAACUCCGUGCCAGCCGCCGCGGUAAUUC
rnacentral:rRNA from 1 species